rnacentral:tRNA from 1 species
GCGUCGUAUCUCAGUUGGAUAGAGCGCCACCUUCCGAAGGUGGCGGCCACACGUUCGGAGGGUGGCGGGCGCGCCA